AAUCAACGCUGGCGGCGUGCCUAACACAUGCAAGUCGAACGCGGUUACUCCCGCAAGGGAGUAACUGAGUGGCGAACGGGUGAGUAACACGUGGGUGACCUACCUUCGAGUGGGGGAUAACGUCCCGAAAGGGACGCUAAUACCGCAUGACAUCCUGCCUUUGAACAGGCGGAGAUCAAAGCCGGGGAUCGCAAGACCUGGCGCUCGUUGAGGGGCCCGCGCCCGAUUAGCUAGUUGGUGAGGUAACGGCUCACCAAGGCGACGAUCGGUAGCCGGUUGAGAGGGCGGACGGCCACACUGGGACUGAGACACGGCCCAGACUCCUACGGGAGGCAGCAGUAAGGAAUAUUGCUCAAUGGGAGAAAUCCUGAAGCAGCAACGCCGCGUGAGGGAUGAAGGGCUUUUGCUUGUAAACCUCUGUAGCGAGAGAAAAAAACUCCAUUUUAUGGAGCAUGAUGGUAUCUCGAAAGUAAGCCCCGGCUAAUUACGUGC
rnacentral:rRNA from 1 species